rnacentral:tRNA from 1 species
GCCUCCUUAGCUCAGCGGACUAGAGCACUUGUCUUCGGAACAAGGGGUCGGGGGUUCGAAUCCCUCAGGGGGCG